CCUGUGGAAUAGGAUGUCUGGGACGCGGUAGCUACUCUACAGAUAAUUGGACAGCCACUGAAUGAAUAAGUGAACGAAUGAAGGAAGAUGCAGCUAGAGGCCAGAAUGAGCAACUAAUGCUCCAUGUUCUCUUUCUGGUGACGUCCCUUGUAGUGUUUGUGCCAACUGCUUAGGCUCCUUGGACCUCAACUUCUUCAUCUGUGAGACGGGCUGGAUGUCCCUCCCUCGCCAGGUCAGAGGGACGCUUUCCAGCUACUGCCACGAUCCUUCGAGAACUCUUGGCAAAGACUGCGUCUAAUGACACUGCUCGCACUGGUGGAGUGUCCGGGGAGUGCCCUCUGCCCAGGGGCUCGCGUGCAUUCUUUCUAACCUCCCAACAAGCCCGACGGUCAUUCUGGAGGAAGGAAGUCUAGCUCCAGAUCGAAGUAAAAGCUGUUGAACCAUCAGUGUCAACUUGGGGCGAGCAAAAACACGGGGACCAGAAGCCCGGGUGGAAGGAGCCCUCGGGGAACGAGCUGGAGCCGCAGCGCCCUCUGGUGUCCGAGGGGCUCCUGCCGGGACGUGCAGGGGCUGCGUGAAGGCAGCGAGGCGGGGUUCCAGAACAUCUGCCCAACUUUUCUUCCCCCAUAAGGGAGGAAGCUGCAGGUGGUGUGCUCUGUCUCGUGCCUGCCUCAUCCGUAACAGUCGGCGCAUCAAAUUGACCUUCCAAGAGCUGAUAGCUCAGCAACCACAACCCAAACGUUUGGAGAUGAAAGAAGGCGCGGCGAGCUGGAGGACUCAUGUUAUAGCGUGCUUAACCAACUGAUGGAGUCACUGCAGGUCCUCUGCCUUCCACCUUCAGGGUGCCACGUACGGGGAACAACUGUGACGACUGUUAUGAUAAACCGUAACGACCAGUCAGCAUUCAGUGUGUUUUAGCCGUACAAAUUAUUCUAAUCUCCACGUCAACUUUGCAAAGGGGUGUUAUCAGGCCCAUAUUACAGAGAAGGAAUCUGCUGCUCAGAUGGGUUUAGAAGUCUGCUCAGGAUCAAGCAAGAGAGGAUUCGAAUCUAGGCGACCUGCCCGUGGAGUCCCUUGCCCCAUGCCCCCUGACCUCGGGAGUCUCUCAAGAGCAUUAAGCUCAGGCCUACACAAGGGCCAGGGAGUGACAGUCCAUUCUCUGAGCUUUCUUUGCUGGAAUCAUUGCCCAGCGAGGGGCAGUCUUGUACAUGUCAGCCUAGCGAGUGCGGCUUAGCUGCCCUACUUCUGAAGCCUCCGGUUUUCCAGAGUCUGGCCAACUUCCGACAGUCUACCCACAGAGCUUCAUCAAUCUAGGGUGCAACUUUGAACUUGAGAAAAAUGAACAUCUCAGUGAAUUGACAGCGUGUGACAUUAUGAGUGAUGGUAAGAACGGGAGAUGAGUGGUACGAGGCAAAGCAGACGGUGAGACCAGUCAGUGAAGGGAAGGGCUAGGAGCAGAAAGGGGGAUGCUUCAGACCAACACUGGCUGCUAGACAGUUUCACAGAGGGCCAGCAUAGUGCAGCGAGGGAGGACCAAGUCAAAGGUGAGCAUGCUGGGCUGGAUGGGGGCAUGGGAGAGAUGUGCGCAAUGUUUCUCUCUUUUUUUUUUAAGCAAUUAUUUAUUUUUUUGGUGAGGAAGAUUGGGCCUGAGCUAA